ACAGCAGUCGCCACGGGAAUACGGAGGGAGCUAGCGUUGUUCGGAAUUACUGGGCGUAAAGCGCGCGUAGGCGGUUACUCAAGUCAGAGGUGAAAGCCCGGGGCUCAACCCCGGAACUGCCUUUGGAACUAGGUGACUAGAAUCCUGGAGAGGUCAGUGGAAUUCCGAGUGUAGAGGUGAAAUUCGUAGAUAUUCGGAAGAACACCAGUGGCGAAGGCGACUGACUGGACAAGUAUUGACGCUGAGGUGCGAAAGCGUGGGGAGCAAACAGGAUUAGAGACCCCUGUAGUCCCUGUCUCUUAUAA
rnacentral:rRNA from 1 species